CUUACCUGGUCUUGACAUCCACGGAAGUUUUCAGAGAUGAGAAUGUGCCUUCGGGAACCGUGAGACAGGUGCUGCAUGGCUGUCGUCAGCUCGUGUUGUGAAAUGUUGGGUUAAGUCCCGCAACGAGCGCAACCCUUAUCCUUUGUUGCCAGCGAUUAGGUCGGGAACUCAAAGGAGACUGCCAGUGAUAAACUGGAGGAAGGUGGGGAUGACGUCAAGUCAUCAUGGCCCUUACGACCAGGGCUACACACGUGCUACAAUGGCGCAUACAAAGAGAAGCGACCUCGCGAGAGCAAGCGGACCUCAUAAAGUGCGUCGUAGUCCGGAUUGGAGUCUGCAACUCGACUCCAUGAAGUCGGAAUCGCUAGUAAUCGUGGAUCAGAAUGCCACGGUGAAUACGUUCCCGGGCCUUGUACACACCGCCCGUCACACCAUGGGAGUGGGUUGCAAAAGAAGUAGGUAGCUUAACCUUCGGGAGGGCGCUUACCACUUUGUGAUUCAUGACUGGGGUGAAGUCGUAACAAGGUAACCGUAGGGGAACCUGCGGUUGGA
rnacentral:rRNA from 1 species